UUAAAAGCGUUGAUCCAGACGAGUAAACGUCAGGCGGGCUUCAGAGAGCCGGGUUAGGUGUGAGCCGGCAGUUGCGCGGGGGUUGAAUGGACUGGGGAGCUGCGGACCGAAAGAGAUUCGAGUAGGCUUCGCCGGGAAGGGCGCCGUUAAACGGCCCAGGGUAUCGUCUUAGACCGUACCCGACAAGAGAUUGAUUCUUUAGCCCUAAGGCUUUUGAAUCGAACCAGGGUGGCACCGCGAGGUAUUUGAGCCUUCGCCCCUAGU
rnacentral:ncRNA from 1 species